rnacentral:tRNA from 6 species
CGGGGCGUGGCGCAGCCUGGUAGCGCACUUGCAUGGGGUGCAAGGGGUCGCAGGUUCAAAUCCUGCCGUCCCGACCA